rnacentral:rRNA from 1 species
CAAUAGCGUAUAUUAAAGUUGUUGCAGUUAAAAAGCUCGUAGUUGGAUUUCUGAUUGAGACAUCAGGUCGGGUCCGAGAGGAUCAUGUACUUUGAUUUGUUUUGAUCAUCCUUGGGGAGAGCAGUUCUGGCAUUAAGUUGUCGGGGUUGGGAUCCUCAUCGUUUACUGGGAAAAAAUUAGAGUGUUCAAAGCAGGCCUCGGCCUCUGAAUACAUUAGCAUGGAAUAAUAAGAUAGGACUUUGGUGGUCUAUUUUGUUGGUUUGCACGCCAAAGUAAUGAUUAAUAGGGAUAGUUGGGGGUAUUCGUAUUCAAUUGUCAGAGGUGAAAUUCUUGGAUUUAUGGAAGACGAACUACUGCGAAAGCAUUUACCAAGGAUGUUUUCAUUAA